AUGUCGAUGAUUCAAAUGUGUCUUGGAGUGUGCGCCAAGUCUUUGGAGGAUUCCAUCUUGAAUACAUCGUGGGGAAUGGCAAAUGUGGCCCACUUGACAGUGUAUUGGAUUAGGAGGUGCACACCACGUCGGCCUACCAUUCAUGGGUUCGGCCGAAGACCCACCAACAACUGA
rnacentral:rRNA from 1 species